GCCGUUCUCAGUUCGGAUCGGAGUCUGCAACCCGACUCCGUGAAGCUGGAUUCGCUAGUAACCGCGCAUCAGCCAUGGCGCGGUGAAUACGUUCCCGGGCCUUGUACACACCGCCCGUCAAGCCAUGGGAGCCGGGGGUGCUUGAAGUGCGUCGCCGCAAGGCGCGCCCUAGAGCAAAACCGGUGACUGGGGCUAAGUCGUAACAAGGUAAC
rnacentral:rRNA from 1 species